rnacentral:lncRNA from 1 species
CCCUGGGAUGGUAAAGCUGCAGCCCACCUCGUCCUGGGGCAGAGUCUCCUUGCCUGCCUGCUUGCAUCGCUCACCAGCGUCCUAUCCUAACACCUCUGUUUCGUGCCUAUCACUUUGUCUCUCGCUGAAUUCCUUCUGCGUGGAGACAUAGAGAACCUCAACCUCAGUGAGUCCAGACGCAGGAGGAGAGCGUUUCCCAGACUCCUUGCCCCUGAGUGAGGAUACGUGCCUGGUUCUGGCCAAGGGGCUGUGGCUGAUACAGCAGGUGUCACUCUGAGUCAAAGCAAAGGAUGUGCAGACAUGAAGUCUCCACGCUCUCUCUUCUUCACCCCUUGUCUCAAGGUGUCAGAGGCACCAGCUUAUGAGGGAUGUAUGAUUGUCAGCACCUCCACUUUACGGAAGAGGACACCUGGGUAUGAUGAUAAGCUGCCCAAGGUCCCAUAUCUGGUGCUUCAUAAUCCUGGCAAAGCCACUAAGCUGAGCAGAGCUGCAGAAAUUCCCUGGCUUUCCUACUGGAAGAUGUCGAUCAAUGAGGGCGCUCGCGGCCUUUGAUGUCAGGCAUCCACGCCCGCUUCUGUAAAGACUUUCGGCUCCACAAGAGAACGGGAAGUCACUGUGAAGAAAGAGGCAGGCGAUGUAACCGGAAAAGCGCGGGUUUGAUGUCAAACAGACCUGCGUGGUUCCACCGCUUUCCGACUGUGUGACACCUCCCUCCCCCACCCCCGGCCCAGUUGCUCUCUGAACCCAAGUCUUGGAAAAUGGAACCAAUAAUACCUGUUCUUCAAGACUGUUCCUGCUGGAAGCUCCCACUACUACUCCCAGUGCAGUCUGUGGUCCAUGUGCCCUUGACCAAAGAGAGGCCCGCCCCUUGCGGCAUCUGGGUCUGCGGCCCCUUCUACUGCCUCUGCCAAGAUACUCCAUUCAUCUCCAGCUCCAAGAUUCAUCUGAAGGCGUGAUCACAUCCUCAAUGUUGAGUGGACUAUGAACCGGCUGCCAGAGACAGGGUUCCAAGCCGGGCCAGGCCCAUCCCAAUGCCCACCCGAAAAGACGGGACAGAGGAAAGAAAGAAACAAAAUCCUGGGGCUCCAUUGGCUUUCUUUUUGACUCCAGCUGAAGUUGCUGCAUAGUGUGGCCUUGCCAGUCCUCGCCUUGAAAAGGCUGGAAGCGACUGCCGUGAUGGAUCAUCUAAUCCCACAGCCUCAUUCUGCAGAGGACCCCGAGCCUCGACUUGGCCAAGGUCACACAGCUGGGCCACACCCAUGGCGUAUGGUUUUCACAUGGAAUCGGAGCUGCAGUUGCCGGCCUAUGCCACAGCCACAGCAAGGUAGGAUCUGAGCCAAGUCUUUGACCUACACCACAUCUCACGGCAAUUCCAGAUCCCUGGACCCACUGAGUGAGGCCAGGGAUUGAACACGCACCCUUAUGGAUACUAGUUGGAUCACAACGGAACUCCCUGAAAAAUCAAGGUCUUUAAAGCAAUUCAUCAACCCCACCAACAUCUUGGCAUAAGAAAAUUGAUUCUGUAAGUCAAAAGAACUUAUAACAUGGUAUAUUGGGAGGAUGGCAGGGCUUGGUAAGUGGUAGCAACGCAGCUGGUAGAUUUUUCUUUGUUGUGUCCUUGUCCUUACGCUCUUUUAGCCACAUUUUCAUUCAGGAUUCUUGGGUUGGAAGCAACAGAAAUGGACUCUUUUGGCCUUAAGCAAAAAGAAAAUUUGUUGAAAGGGCAUGGAGGAGUUCAUAGGAUUGACUAGAAGUUUGGAGAAGUAGGCUCAGGAGUCAAGGCAUUUAUAGAGGAGGGUAGGGUAGAGAGGUGAUAAAAAUAAUGCAACGGUCUUAUUUGGAAAUUGUACUGGAAUGUAAGAGUUUCAUCUUUCCUCCUCCCUCCCUCUCUCUCUCUUUCUGCCACUUCAUUCGAGAUUCCAAUUUCAGCGAAGGAGCAUCCAAUUGGCCUGUCUUGGUCAGAUUCCCACCACCCCCAUGGUUAGGGGAACACAGCAUAUUCGAAAUGGCAUUCCCAUGAGGUACAUUCCAUGGAAAAGUAAUACCACAAAGAAAAUAUGGACACAGUUAUCAAAGGAAGAUAAAACAGGUGCUGGGUAGCCAACAAUAGCCUAUUUCCACUAUAUCCUUUAAAAAAAAUCCCAGUAACUCUUCUAUGAUUACUGAUUUUUCAGGAGAGAAAUUUAACAAUGGAAGAGUGUAUACAUAGUGAUGAAAAGAAUGGGAGGAUUUAUAAGAUACAAGUCAUUUUCUUUGAGUUGUGGGACAAUGGUUGGGUCCAUUUUUCUUCUGUUGUUUUUUCCUAUAGAGCACAUUUAUAACCUUUUAAAAGUAAACUAUAUUUUCUACUUUAAGAUGAGUGAAAUGAGGGGGGAGUGUCCCUUUUGACUGGGGACAUAGUCACUAGUUACUCUAUGUUAAUAACAGAAGCAUACAUUCCUCUCGAGGGGCAACAGUGUUCUUAUACAUUAAACUCUCAACAGAAACCAAAAGAACCACCACCAAAAAAAUCCCACCCAGUUUGGAAAGGACUUGUGCUUGUGGGUCGGGGGCAGAAGGAAGCAAUUUCCCUCCAUUUUCUGCCUGAGCAGGCCUUUUGCACUUUGAUAUUCGUUUCACUAAUAAGGUGUUUCAUUAUUUCUCCCACAAAAAGAGCUGGUGCUGUUAUGAGAUGCUGUUGAAGACUCUGGUUUGCCCAGAUGUGCCGCAGUGAAAACAGCCUUUCUCUGACGUGCAUGACUUGUGAGGAUGAUGGGACCUGUGGGAAGAGGGGAUCCUUUUUCAGAGUUUGGAAAGAGAGACAAAAUAACGCCAUCUGCCCUGCAUGGCUGACAGAAACACAUUCUUCCCUAAUCAGUGGGUCACUCACUUCCGCACUAUGUUGCAGGGAAGCAUCAUCUGAUUCCAAGCCUAAGGCUGGGUCAUCCGCGGCACUGACUUCUCCCGACCCUUCUCCGAGCUUCCCGUGCCAGUUUUCAUCAUCAAAUUUCUCUGCUCCCUUGGACCAGCGGAAAAGAAGUUAUGAGCUCUCUCCAUCAUUCGCCGGUCUCUUCGGCCCUUCCUCCUUUGAAGUUUUCUUAUUCGGGGUCUUUUUUCGCUUCUUCUCCAUGUUUCAUCCUCUCUCACUGUAACCUUUUUAUCUCUGGAGAGUUCUCUCUGUGCCUCUGGGCCCUUCUCUUUCUAGUUGGUUCUCAGAACCCAUUCUGGGAUUCUAUUUCAGUCCAUCCGUCUCUCCAACAGACCACGGGUGAAACCAGGGCCGGUAAUCAGUCCCAGCUGCUGGAGGCGUCCGCUCUGGGUCGGCCCCACGUUUGUGGGCUGAUGUUUUGCUUCCCAUAAUGCUCUGGGAGUACUGCUGCUCAGAGCUUGGCUUGUGCUUUUUCUUCUCCUGCCAAGGGGCCCUGCUUCCAAAACCCAGAUUAGAAAACAUGGGACGUUAAAAAAAAAAAAAAAAA